rnacentral:rRNA from 1 species
UACGGAGGGAGCUAGCGUUGUUCGGAAUUACUGGGCGUAAAGCGCACGUAGGCGGCUUUGUAAGUUAGAGGUGAAAGCCCAGGGCUUAACCCUGGAAUUGCCUUUAAGACUGCAUCGCUAGAAUCGUGGAGAGGUGAGUGGAAUUCCGAGUGUAGAGGUGAAAUUCGUAGAUAUUCGGAAGAACACCAGUGGCGAAGGCGACUCACUGGACACGUAUUGACGCUGAGGCACGAAAGCGUGGGGAGCAAACAGG